rnacentral:lncRNA from 1 species
UGGUCUUGAUUAGAUGAAAUAUAAAUGAUAACCUGAUCAAGCCCAAUUCUUUCAAUAGCAGAUCCAAACCAUCCAUUGACAGAAACCUUAACAAUCCCCAAAAACAAACAUAAUCCACAAAACGCAAAGAACAUCCACUGCCCUAACCGUUUUUUCUUCUCUAAUCCAACAAAAUCAACGUUACCAGAUCCAGCACUUCUCUUGGGCUGAAGCCGUUGGGUCAAACGGGUCAGCUUCUUUUCAGGGAUGGAGUCAAAGGCCUCAGUUUGUUCAGAUCUAGGUGAUGUUGUUGCGUUUGAAGGACUGAGCACGGCGAGUCAUCGGACCGGAGAAUCUGGGGCUGUUGACUCGCUGUGAAAGUCCAUCGGCGGCGGAAGUGGUGGAGGAGGAGGAGGUGGUGGUGGAAUUCUGGUAGUGAUUGUCAUUUGCCAUGUGUGUAUGUAUAGGUGGAGGGAGAUUGAUAUGUGAUGAUGUAGUUAUGAGUAUAGGGACCCAAAAUGGGUGCAGGCAGUUGUUAUAUUGAGGAGGAUAGAUAGAUCGCCAUUAAUGGAGGAGGGAUCGGAGUGAAAAAAGAGGGUGUGUAAAAUAUACAGCCUAGCCUAGCCUGUCUGUAACACUCAUCAUCAUGUCUUUCUUUUUCUUGUGUGUGAAUGCCAGGAAGUUUUUGGCUUCUCUCAAUUCGAUAUUAUUAUUAUAUAAUUUCAUU